UUGUUGGGGUUGUAGGACACUCUAUACGGAGUUACAAAAGAACAUGUUAGACGAAUCAUCUGGAAAGAUGAAUCAAAGAAGGUAAUAAUCCUGUAGUCGAAAACAUAUUCUCUCUUGAGUGGAUCCUGAGUACGACGGAGCACGUGAAAUUCCGUCGGAAUCUGGGAGGACCAUCUCCUAAGGCUAAAUACUCUCUAGUGACCGAUAGUGAACCAGUACCGUGAGGGAAAGGUGAAAAGUACCCCGGAAGGGGAGUGAAAGAGAACUUGAAACCGUGUGCUUACAAGUAGUCAGAGCCC
rnacentral:rRNA from 1 species